rnacentral:snRNA from 1 species
CACUUUUGUAGGUCACACACUAAAAUUGGGACAAUACAGAGAAGAUUAGUAUAGCCUCUGUUCAAGGAUGAUAUACAACUUAUGAAGCCCUUUAUAUCUUU